GAUAUGGCUCAGGAUGAACGCUAGCGACAGGCUUAACACAUGCAAGUCGAGGGGCAGCGAGGGAGUGGCAACACUUCCGUCGGCGACCGGCGCACGGGUGAGUAACGCGUAUGCAACCUGCCCUUCACAGGGGGGAUAACCGGGAGAAAUUCCGACUAAUACCGCAUACGUCCUCCGGGGGCAUCCCCGGGGGAUGAAAGAAUUAUCGGUGAAGGAUGGGCAUGCGUGAUAUUAGGUAGUUGGCGGGGCAACGG
rnacentral:rRNA from 1 species